AGAUUGAUAUCAGAAGCUAGGGUCCAUCAUUCAGGAAGAUUCGGUGUUAAAAUUAUUUCCCCACCUUACCAUAAAUGUUUAGAACCUCAUCAUAAAUGUU